CCAAGAACUUUUUGGUAAAGAUGUUGCUUCAAGGUUAUGAGCCCAAUGUGGAGCCUUACCUCUCAAUGAUGCUUCAAGCUUAUCAUGAAAACCUGUUGGUGGAACUAAGAAGUAGGUGUCGAAUUUUUGUCCCAAAAGGCCGAAUCCUUAUUGGUUGCUUGGAUGAAACUAGACUUCUACAUUAUGGCCAAGUUUUUGUCCGCAUAACGAUGACCAAAGCUGAGCUGCAGAGCAUAGAUCAGAGCUUCUUCCGGAGGG
rnacentral:misc_RNA from 1 species